AACGAACGCUGGCGGCAGGCCUAACACAUGCAAGUCGAGCGCACCCUUCGGGGCGAGCGGCGGACGGGUUAGUAACGCGUGGGAAUGUACCCUUUUCUACGGAAUAGCCAUUGGAAACGAUGAGUAAUACCGUAUACGCCCUUUGGGGGAAAGAUUUAUCGGAGAAGGAUCAGCCCGCGUUAGAUUAGAUAGUUGGUGGGGUAAUGGCCAACCAAGUCUACGAUCUAUAGCUGGUUUUAGAGGAUGAUCAGCAACACUGGGACUGAGACACGGCCCAGACUCCUACGGGAGGCAGCAGUGGGGAAUCUUAGACAAUGGGCGCAAGCCUGAUCUAGCCAUGCCGCGUGAGUGAAGAAGGCCUUAGGGUCGUAAAGCUCUUUCGCCAGGGAUGAUAAUGACAGUACCUGGUAAAGAAACCCCGGCUAACUCCGUGCCAGCAGCCGCGGUAAUACGGAGGGGGUUAGCGUUGUUCGGAAUUACUGGGCGUAAAGCGCACGUAGGCGGAUUAGAAAGUAUGGGGUGAAAUCCCAGGGCUCAACCCUGGAACUGCCUCAUAAACUCCUAAUCUAGAGUUCGAGAGAGGUGAGUGGAAUUCCGAGUGUAGAGGUGAAAUUCGUA
rnacentral:rRNA from 1 species